GUCCUCACUUCGGCAGGACAUCUAUGAAAAUCCGAACGCUACAGAGAUUGGUGUGGCCUCUGCCCUAAAGAUCACACCCAAAUUCGUGAAGUGUUCCAGAUUUUC
ensembl:snRNA U6 U6 spliceosomal RNA